rnacentral:rRNA from 1 species
UGGGGAAUUUUGGACAAUGGGGGAAACCCUGAUCCAGCCAUCCCGCGUGUGCGAUGAAGGCCUUCGGGUUGUAAAGCACUUUUGGCAGGAAAGAAACGUCGCGGGUUAAUACCCCGCGAAACUGACGGUACCUGCAGAAUAAGCACCGGCUAACUACGUGCCAGCAGCCGCGGUAAUACGUAGGGUGCAAGCGUUAAUCGGAAUUACUGGGCGUAAAGCGUGCGCAGGCGGUUCGGAAAGAAAGAUGUGAAAUCCCAGAGCUUAACUUUGGAACUGCAUUUUUAACUACCGGGCUAGAGUGUGUCAGAGGGAGGUGGAAGUUCCGCGUGUAGCAGUGAAAUGCGUAGAUAUGCGGAGGAACACCGAUGGCGAAGGCAGCCUCCUGGGCAUAACACUGACGCUCAUGCACGAAAGCGUGGGGAGCAAACAGGAUUAGAUACCCUGGUAGUCCACGCCCUAAACGAUGUCAACUAGCUGUUGGGGCCUUCGGCCUUGGUAGCGCAGCUAACGCGUGAAGUUGACCGCCUGGGAGUACGGUC